UGUAACAUUCUUUGUUAUGCAAUAGUCUGGCAACGUUCUCUUCACAACAGCAACAAAAAAUUCAACUUCUGAUAACCAUUAGAAUCAAGUUUGUCUUCUAUCUAACCAUUGAAAAAUUUGUAUCCUCUGACACUUCUGUGCUACUCAUGGUGCAUAAUUAUUGAUGAUUGCAGUGAUGACCGAGAGAGACCCUGGAGGAUCUUAAGACACUUUAAUUCUUCAUUUCCCAGAGACUGACCCCAUUGUAGAAGUGCAGACAGCUCAAGAACGUUAAGAAAAAAGGAACUGCCAAUUGCUGUAAAUUACAAGCUGCCUUGACGAAGAGAAUGCUAAUCCUUUGGGGGCUUAGGAAGAGACCACCAAUCAUGUUUCUGAG